rnacentral:rRNA from 1 species
GGCAGCGCGGGAGCUUGCUCCUGGCGGCGAGUGGCGCACGGGUGAGUAAUGCAUCGGAACGUGUCUUCUUGUGGGGGAUAACUGUCCGAAAGGACAGCUAAUACCGCAUAAGACCUGAGGGUGAAAGCAGGGGAUCGCAAGACCUUGCGCAGGAAGAGCGGCCGAUGUCCGAUUAGCUAGUUGGCGGGGUAAAGGCCCACCAAGGCGACGAUCGGUAGCUGGUCUGAGAGGACGACCAGCCACACUGGGACUGAGACACGGCCCAGACUCCUACGGGAGGCAGCAGUGGGGAAUUUUGGACAAUGGGGGCAACCCUGAUCCAGCCAUGCCGCGUGCAGGAUGAAGGUCUUCGGAUUGUAAACUGCUUUUGUCAGGGACGAAAAGGGACGUGAUAACACCACGUUCUGCUGACGGUACCUGAAGAAUAAGCACCGGCUAACUACGUGCCAG